AUUGAACGCUGGCGGCAUGCCUUACACAUGCAAGUCGAACGGCAGCACGGGGCAACCUGGUGGCGAGUGGCGAACGGGUGAGUAAUGCAUCGGAACGUGCCAUUGAGUGGGGGAUAACGUAGCGAAAGUUGCGCUAAUACCGCAUAUUCUGUGAGCAGGAAAGCAGGGGACCGCAAGGCCUUGCGCUCUUUGAGCGGCCGAUGUCAGAUUAGCUAGUUGGUGAGGUAACGGCUUACCAAGGCGACGAUCUGUAGCGGGUCUGAGAGGAUGAUCCGCCACACUGGAACUGAGACACGGUCCAGACUCCUACGGGAGGCAGCAGUGGGGAAUUUUGGACAAUGGGCGCAAGCCUGAUCCAGCCAUGCCGCGUGAGUGAAGAAGGC
rnacentral:rRNA from 1 species